rnacentral:tRNA from 1 species
GCCGGGGUGGCCGAGUGGACCAAGGCGGCGGACACAAUCGUGCCGCAAUUGAGCCUUUGCAGGAAAUCCGUUGCCCGCAAGGGCGCCCGGGUUCAAAUCCCGGCCCCGGCG